AGAAUAAUAUGCGCUAUCCUCUUCGGCAGAGUCUGCGUCUUCCAGCUAGUAUCUUCAUUUUCUUCCAUGCCGCAAGGCCAUCGACAGAUCGAGACAGGCGAUCUGGAUCGCUAUGCUCUAUGCGCACCAUACUACGCAGGUGCUUCGCGGGAAGGGCGCCGGCUCCACCCACUCGGCGCCUCGGCAGACGGCGGCGGGCGUAGGGGCUCCACUGCGCCGCGUGCGAGCUGAGCCGAUCCGGCCGAUGCGCGCCGUAGUGUGCAGGGGAUUCCUGGCCAGGACACUCGUUCGGCCGCUCGGUGCCUCGGCGAACGGCGCCUGCGGGGGUUCCUCCCCGCGCUGCGCGCGUGUUGGCGUAUAGCAGCUUGACGGCCAGGGCGCUUGUUCGUCUGCUCGGCGCCUCCGCCGGCGGCCGUGGCUGCGGGCGUCGGGGAUCCAUCGCGCCGCGGACGCGCUAUAGGCCAGAAGGCACUGUGUGCAGAAGGGAGGGGUCAUGGGCUCAUGGCCGGACUGAGCAGAGCAACGAGGUAGUGAAGUGUGGACGAAGGUGAGGUGAGGAUCGAGGAACUGGUUCAUAUUUUGUGAAAAAUAUGUCAUUGCAAUAAUUAACUAUUUACUUAUAGCACUGCAAUAAUUAACUUAUGGUGCUCACAAUGAGGUAGUGACAUUUGAUGGAAAGUUGAAUUGCAUUAUAUAGUAGUAGGCAUGAAAGAAGUGUAUGCAGAUUAACGAUUACAAAAGAUAUACUGCAUAUUCAGAAUGCUAUGGAAAGUAUAUAUUAGUAGGUUUCCUGUCCAAAAGGAAUUCCACAAAAGUCUCCUUCUACCCGGAUUCAAGGAAUGCUCUUCUUUUUCUUAAAAGAUCCAUCGUUGUGCUCCUCGAGCAGGUACCUGUAUGCAAUAGAUAAUGAUAGUUAAACAAUAGUCCAAUUGGAUAGUUUAGGGUACAGAAGAAGUCUCUUACAGUACAUUGUGCAUUUUUAUAUUUGGUGUUUGAAUCAGUGUUGGUUAAUUAGCAGUCGUCAUGAGAAGAUGCAUAGGAUUUCUUAUACAGCAAUAAGGAUUUAAUACUAUAGUUUGUAAAAAUAUUAGUAGAAAGAAUGAAGGAGUCUUACUUAUAGUUUUGCUUUUUUGCCUUUGGAAAUAUGUCCUUUUGUAGAUUUAUAGUCCUCAUCACUAUUAUUGUCACCAUCGGUUGGUUGAUCCCUUUUGUUCUUGUGGCUAUCUUGUUCACUGAAACUUCAAUGAUCAUUGAAAAGUAAUUUAGUUAAAUUCAUGUAUAUGCAUAGGUUAGUCCAUACAGUAGCAAAGAAAUAAGAAUGCAUACCCGGUAGUUUCUAUUUCCAUGGGGUCAAUAUCUGUUUCAGACUUUUGUACCACUGGAAUUGCAUCCUAUAUGUUGGCAUUAAAUAUACUAUAAGCAAGUGCAAUAUUUUUUUUUGGAAACAAAAACUAAGAAUCAUAAGGAAGAAGUCACUUGUUUGUGUGUACCUGUUUUGUAUCAGUUUUGUAUUUGAUUGGAACCAGUGGUGGUACAUGCCUUGGAGUUGAUUAGUUGAAAGCAAUAUAGUACUGCUUUGUUCUUGUUUGCCGGAGCUUGUGAUAGUUGUUUCUUUGCCAAACUGGUGUGUUAUAUAAAGAACUUCAAAUGAUGGAUCCUUGCUGGCAAAACUUUUUUUUGAGGAAAUCUUGACAAUGAACGUGUACUUUUGUCCAAUCAAAGCAGCGAUUUCGACAGGAGUAUCAUUUUUGCCGUACAUAUUGAUCAAUUUUUUCUACUGGUUUCCCAAUCAGUUCUGCUUUUUUGUCGAAGAGAACGAAUUCAAGUUCAUGUGUGUUAUCACUGCCCAUAACACAAAGUUUAUACCUAUUUAAAGAAUAAAUUAGUACUCAAUUGUUUUUUGUCUAUGAAAGAAAGAGACUUGAAUAAGUGGGAAAUAUGUUAGUAAUGUGUGUACCUUGGCAUUGCUUCAGUGCAUACACAGUUGUCAUUUGUGCAUUUAUAAUUUGAACCAUGGAGAAAAGUCUUUGAGUGGCAUGAUUUACAUGCACGGUACCACCAUCCUUGAUUUGGAGCUAGCCUUGUAAUCACGAUGGUGGACUCAAAUUUAUGGUUCUGUAGAAAGGAAGGUACAAAGAUUAAAACUUAGCAUUAGAAUGUAACAGUUGAAGUGUACAUUAUUCAUAGAAUAGAUUGGCUUAAGAGACCUCAAUUUUAAUUUGUGAAUUAUAGAAGGUCCAUAUGUUGUAUAUUGAUAAGAUGUCAUAAAUUUAUCUAUUUCUGGUUUAUUGCAUGCUCAUAAAAGAAAAUAUGUGCUCAUUGACAGGCCAUCGAAAUAAGAAUACAUUGGGUCACAUAUUUUCUUUAUAUACCUUAUGAUCAAUUGGAUCAACUUGUUCCUUUAAUUGUAGCAGGGUCUUCUUUUCGAUAUGUUGCGCGUUCUCAUCAUCCCCUUGUAGCUGCAUUGCUUGUACUGGCUCUAUCUCAUCCUCUAUUUGCAAAAGCCUGUAAUGGUAAUUAAUAUAAUUAUACUAAUCUAUCUUUAUGUAUGGUGCAUAUAUAUUGUACGGAGUGGUAAAUUCUUACUUUGAAUAGAAUUCGUUGAUUGCUGGAAUGUCUUCAUUGAUGUACCAUCGGCAAGCAGAAUUUCCAGUUAGGAUCACUUUGUCGCCUUUUUCAGUUUUUAUAGUCUUUGCUAAUGUUCCAACAAAGAUAACAAUAACUGCAGUUUCUUGCCCAUUUGCAUAAACUGUUUCCGCAUCAAAUUCAAUUGCCCUUGGACCCCAUAGAGAUAUUUCAAUUGAGUUGCCUCUAGCAUAAGUUUUUAGGACAGGAAAAGAUGCAUUAUUGUUGUUGAACUUGAUUGCAAUAUUCAUGUGAAAAAUUAUCAAUGUACAUAACUUACUUGUCGUCCUUAAGGAUAAUAGUCCGUUUUGUUUGUAGCUUGCCAUAUCCAUAUUGGACUUUUGCAACAUUAGACACAGCUGUGACAUAGCCAAUGAUGUCUGUAUAGAAUGCAUAUAGAAUUAUGAUCAUGCAUAUAUUUUGGAAUUAAAAAAUAUAGUUAUAGUAGGAAUAUGUUACCUAGGAACCUAUCAGUAAGGUUGACAUGCUGGGGGAGCUCUGAGAAUUGGGUCAAGUUGUAGACAUAUUUUGGAAAAUUUGGUGGUUCUGGAACUACUGGAGUGAUGAUUGAUCUUUGAGUCAACUUUAUCAUGUAAGGUGCUUCCACCACUUUGUAGAUGCUUUUUGCUCUCUGAACUAAGAAUCUUUUGAUGUCAACUAUCUUUCCUUCUUGUAGAUGAGGUUUUAGAUAUGGAAUAUCUUCUUGUGGUAUUUCAACAUACAUGGCAUUGCUCUGUGAUCGGAAAUGGUUAGUGUUAUAAAAUGAUAUUAACAGUAGUGGAAGAAGUUAAAUAGUGAACUAAUAAAUAUGAAACAUACCUUUUCAUCUAUGAUGACCAAAUCUUGAUGUUUGAUUUGUCCAUUCUUGUCACAGAAUUCCCACAGCCUUGAUAUGCAAACACGUAUGUUCCAAUUCAGUCCAUGAGGAUUUAACUCUCAGGGAGCAGAUCAGGAAUUCAGGAUUUGAGACACUUAUCAACCAAUUGUUUGAGAUAACUGUAUGGUUCAGGUGGGCUGGUUCCUCUUUCUCUUUGGAAUGAUAGUUCACGUGGUGUUUCGAAAACUCUAAAUAUAUGUAUGAGAAAUAUGAAGAAGCAUCAGUGAGGGCACGGACAAGCAACAACACUGGAUUAAGAUGGCAUUUAGCCCGGUGAUAAAUGAAGGAGGUUGUCAAGUAGAUCCACACGUUUGCUAAUAGUAGUUACAUAUGUAAAAGGAAAAGCAAUAAAAACUUACCAGUUAGAUUCAGUUGAGAGUGCUUUUGUGACCUGUGAUACUGAGUUUGUUUUGCUGGAACAAAAUGACCCUUCGACUACUGGGUGCCUAUUUAUUUAUAGUAUGAGAUUGCUUGGCUGGAACAAAA